UACAGAGGUCUCAAGCGUUGUUCGGAUUCAUUGGGCGUAAAGGGGUGCGUAGGUGGCGCCGUAAGUCAGGUGUGAAAUCUCGGGGCUUAACUCCGAAACUGCAUUUGAUACUGCGGUGCUUGAGGACUGGAGAGGAGACUGGAAUUUACGGUGUAGCAGUGAAAUGCGUAGAGAUCGUAAGGAAGACCAGUGGCGAAGGCGGGUCUCUGGACAGUUCCUGACACUGAGGCACGAAGGCCAGGGGAGCAAAACGGG
rnacentral:rRNA from 1 species